UAAGGAAUAUUGGUCAAUGGACGCAAGUCUGAACCAGCCAUGCCGCGUGAAGGAUGAAGGUCCUCUGGAUUGUAAACUUCUUUUAUCUGGGACGAAAACGGGAUUUUUAUCUCAAUUGACGGUACCAGAGGAAUAAGCACCGUCUAACUCCGUGCCAGCAGCCGCGGUAAUACGGAGGGUGCGAGCGUUAUCCGGAUUUACUGGGUUUAAAGGGUGCGUAGGUGGGCUUAUAAGUCAGUGGUGAAAUCUCCGAGCUUAACUUGGAAACUGCCGUUGAUACUAUAGGUCUUGAAUUAUCUGGAGGUAAGCGGAAUAUGUCAUGUAGCGGUGAAAUGCUUAGAUAUGACAUAGAACACCAAUUGCGAAGGCAGCUUACUACAUAUAAAUUGACGCUGAGGCACGAAAGCGUGGGGAUCAAACA
rnacentral:rRNA from 1 species